AGUCAACUCACUUAACCCCUAGGCUAACCAAAGUUCACAUGCGGCUCUCUCUCUCUCUCUCUCUCUUCGUCUACAAGCUGUAAAACGACUUGACGCAGCUACCGAUAUGUUUAUGAAUAUUACCGCGAACGGGGGUACGAUAUUCAAGCGAUGCAUUGCGAAUCCAAUUACUCGCAACAACCGGAAAACCAAUGAAAUAAAACGCUACGACGUACAUGCAGUUGUAAUAAUAGAAAAGGUAGAGCGAGCGAAAACUUUCCCCACUACAAUCGGAAUAGAUAACGACGAAAUGAUCUCGCUUCUAACUUAUUCAUGCAAAUGUGUAAUAGCGGACGGGCGUGAUGCAUGAUUUUUGCCUCCUCCCCGUCCCCCCCGUCUUCCUCCUCCCCCUCUUUGGAACGAUAAAAUUACGAGCGGAGCACGAAUUUCCGCUGACUAAAAAUCGCGGUGUGGUAUAGUUACGUAAACGCGGCGAAGCUGAAUGUCUCGCGGUGCACGGAGACGAUCGACGAUCUUUUGGGAUUUCUUCGAGUCGUUCCGAUCGCCCGGCGUCGGAAAAAAGGGCCGAAAAAUGAGAGGAAACUUUUCGGCUUCCGAAAUCCGGACUUCCCAGAUGAUUCACGUCGCUUCUCCUUCGUCGCGCGCCGCGCCAACGAACGCGUCUUGAAGUUUAUUACCGAAAGUUUUGGUUUAUUUUCGAGUAGUCGUUAUAAGGUGACUAAU